rnacentral:pre_miRNA from 1 species
CUCCGGAGAACAUUCAACGCUGUCGGUGAGUUUGUGGUUGAGGUGAAACCAUCGACCGUUGCGUGUGCCCCGUGG